rnacentral:rRNA from 1 species
ACUAAAUAGAUACCCGGGUAGUCCACGCUGUAAACGAUGAGUGCUAGAUGCCGGAUUUUUUCGGUGUCGCAGCUAAACGCAUUAAGCACUCCACCUGGGAAGUACGAUCGCAAGGUUGAAACUCAAAGGAAUUGACGGGGGCCCGGCACAAGCAGUGGAGCAUGUGGUUUAAUUCGAUGCAACGCGAAGAACCUUACCUAGGCUUGAAAAGCUUAUGACCGGCUGUGAAAGCAGCUUUCCCGCAAGGGCAUAAGUACAGGUGCUGCAUGGCUGUCGUCAGCUCGUGCCGUGAGGUGUUGGGUUAAGUCCCGCAACGAGCGCAACCCUUACCAUUAGUUGCCACCGGAGCAAUCCGAGCACUCUAAUGGAACUGCCUACGCAAGUAGUGAGGAAGGUGAGGAUGACGUCAAGUCCGCAUGGCCCUUACGCCUAGGGCUACACACGUGCUACAAUGGCCGCCACAACGGGCAGCAAAAUCGCGAGAUGGAGCGAAUCCCUAAAAAGCGGCCUCAGUUCGGAUUGGA